GCCCCCGUAGCUCAGGGGAUAGAGCGAUGGUUUCCUAAACCACAGGCCGCAGGUUCGAUUCCUGCCGGGGGCA
rnacentral:tRNA from 1 species